rnacentral:miRNA from 1 species
UACCAACUCAUACAAUACCAACUCAUACAAUACCAACUCAUACAAUACCAACCCAAUGGGUUGGUAUUGUAUGAGUUGGUAUUGUAUGAGUUGGUAUUGUAUGGGUUGGU